CCUACGGGUGGCAGCAGUGAGGAAUAUUGGUCAAUGGGCGAGAGCCUGAACCAGCCAAGCCGCGUGAGGGAGUACUGCCCUAUGGGUUGUAACUCUCUUUUUUCGGGGAGCAAAAGCCGGACGUGUCCGGCUGUGAGAGUACCCGACGAAUAAGCAUCGGCUAACUCCGUGCCAGCAGCCGCGGUAAUACGGAGGAUGCGAGCGUUAUCCGGAUUUAUUGGGUUUAAAGGGUGCGCAGGCGGAUUUUUAAGUCAGCGGUAAAAUCGUGGAGCUCAACCCCAUCCAGCCGUUGAUACUGGGGUGCUGGAGUGUGCGAGAGGUAGGCGGAAUGCGUGGUGUAGCGGUGAAAUGCAUAGAUAUCACGCAGAACCCCGAUUGCGAAGGCAGCAUACGGGUGCACGAUUGACGCUGAGGCACGAAAGCGUGGGUAUCGAACAGGAUUAGAUACCCCUGUAGUC
rnacentral:rRNA from 1 species